GUUCAAAUCUCAAAAUCGCAUCGUGUCCGUGACCGUGACUGAGCCUAAUCCUCCUUCGCAAAUUCAACUUCUCCCUCUCUGCUUCCAAUUGCAUCUUCAAUCCAAGGCUUUUCAAGGGUUUAACAUAAACCCUAAAUUUCCCAAUUUCUUCUUCUAUACACUCUUACUGUCUCCGAAAUUGCAAGCCCACGCACUCUCACCCCAUGCCCUUAGAUCUAAUCAAGACUUUGCAGUCAUUGAAGUGACGUUGGUGAGGUGAGGUGAGGUUCUUGGUGGAGCAAUCUAAAGUUUGGGUUUUUUUGAUUGCGAUUUAUCUCUGAAGUGGUGUUGGUGGGGUUUUAUUCUUGGUGGGGUUUUGGGAAUGAAGAAUUGUAGUGAUUUGGGGAAUGAUUUGUCGGGUUUUCGAGUGAUAUGAAGUGCUGAAUAUGAGCAAUGGCGGUGGGAAGACUGGAAGACAACUUGAACAGCCUGCUGCCACAUGGAGGAGGAGGACAGUGGGUGGUGGUGAUGACUUUGCUCAAGCGGUUGCAAAGAUUGCAGUAGCACAAAUAUGCGAAAGUGAGGGUUUUCCGGCCUUUCAGCAGUCAGCUCUUGAUGCAUUAUCUGACAUUACUGCUCGAUUUAUUUUGAAUGUUGGGAAGUCCGCACAUUCCUUUGCUAAUCUUGCUGGUAGAUCUGAAUGCAAUGUUUUUGACGUCAUUCAAGGGUUAGAAGAUAUGGGAUCAGCACAUGGGUUUGGCGGUGCUUCGGAUGUUGAUCAUUGCCUUGAAAGUUCAGGUGUUGUUCGGGAAAUUUAUCAAUUUGUUAAUGAGGGUGAACCCAUUACGUUUGCGCACCCAAUACCUCGAUUUCCAGUUGUGAAAGAACGGGUGCUGCCUCCAAGUUUUUUGCUAAAAGGAGAAGAGCCACCCGGGGAGCAUAUUCCAGCAUGGUUGCCCGCAUUCCCUGUUCCACAAACUUAUUCAGAGUCACCGUUAGGGAAUGGAAGAGGGACAGAGCCUUGUGCUUCUAAAUUUGAUCAAGAAAGAGAGAAUGGCAAUGGGGAGAGACCUCUGUUGCAGCAGCAGAUGGUCUCAAAUAUGUUUGAAAAGUCCACCGUGACUGACCCUGCAGAUGCUAAGGCGAAAAGAGUAGCAACAGAAAGCAACCCAUUCUUUGCUGCACCUUUGAAAUUUGAGGAGAAGGAAGUUGCUUCUGUUGCCCCUCCAACUAAGCUCUUCAAUGGUGUUGUAGCUUCUGAUAAUCCUGUGGUGGAAAAUUUCGUUAAAAAUGACUCAGUUUCAGUAUUGGAGACCUUUGCUCCUGCGAUUGAGGCCAUGAAAAGCACAUGCUGUGAUUCCAAGGAAGAUCAAACACAUUUUCCUGUGAAUGAGAAGCCUACUGUGCGUUUUAAGGUUGGGAUUAAAAAUAAAUUCUUAGGAAGGUCGGUUGGCUUGAUUCCACAAAAAGAGGAGCAUAAAAAGACUUUGCCGUGGUUUGCGAUGGAAGAUGAGAAGGAUGAUAGGAAAAGAAGGGCUGAGAAAAUUCUGAGGGAAUCUCUGGAAAACCCAGAUCAGCUUGUUCAGUUGUAAAUUAGAUUCUGUAUACUUGAUCAGGAGAAUGUCAGGAUAACUAGUUCUGAGACGUUGAAAUCUAGCAAACUGUCUGCUUAUGGGCAUUAUAGGAUGGAUUUUCUAUUUUGCUAAGACAUGUUCCUACUUUUACAAUCUUUCAGCUGUUGUCUGCUCUACUCUAUAGUUGCCUAAGAGGCUUGCUUUGGUCUGUUGAGGAGAAGAUCGAUAAAAUAUGAGUCGAAUGGAAGAUCUGAUAUUUUUUCAAAGUGGAUUCAUUGGAUAGAUUCCAAUGAUGUUUGUGUUUUAUGUUUCUACCUCCUUGACUCCUAAUGUUUUCCUCAAAUUUCGCUUGACAAGGCUUGGUUAUUGUUACGGUUGUGUGUUCUACUGUUUUCAGUUGAGAUGUGCCUUGAACUUGCAACAACUUGUAAAUUUUUGUUUUCCAGUAUUACAGAUUGUAUUCAUUCUGUCAGAAGGCAUAUUCAUGCUUCAACCAAGUCCUAGAUUAAGGAAUAAUUUCUGGAUUGGAUUAAUUUUUGAAUGUUUGUUCAGAUAACUAAAAUUGUCAACAUGAUUGCCCAGCAAGAUUCCUCUUACCAA